ACCUGACUGGCUCAGUCGGGAGGAGCAUGUGACUCUUGAUCUCAGGGUUGUGAGUUCGAGCCCCGCGUUGGGUA
rnacentral:tRNA from 1 species